CAGCCGCCACGGGAAUACAGAGGGUGCAAGCGUUAAUCGGAAUUACUGGGCGUAAAGCGCGCGUAGGUGGUUUGUUAAGUUGGAUGUGAAAGCCCCGGGCUCAACCUGGGAACUGCAUCCAAAACUGGCAAGCUAGAGUACGGUAGAGGGUGGUGGAAUUUACUGUGUAGCGGUGAAAUGCGUAGAUAUAGGAAGGAACACCAGUGGCGAAGGCGACCACCUGGACUGAUACUGACACUGAGGUGCGAAAGCGUGGGGAGCAAACAGGAUUAGAUACCCGCGUAGUCCCUGUCUCUUAUAC
rnacentral:rRNA from 1 species